GGGUGAUUAGCUCAUCGGUUAGAGUGCUACGUUGACAUCGUAGAGGUGAUUGGUUCGAUUCCGAUAUUGCCCA